AUACGUAGGUGGCAAGCGUUGUCCGGAAUUAUUGGGCGUAAAGCGCAUGUAGGCGGUGCCUUAAGUCUGUCGUGAAACUGCGGGGCCUAACCCCGUAUGGCGAUGGAAACUGUGGCACUUGAGUGCAGGAGAGGAAAGGGGAACUCCCAGUGUAGCGGUGAAAUGCGUAGAUAUUGGGAAGAACACCGGUGGCGAAGGCGCCUUUCUGGACUGUGUCUGACGCUGAGAUGCGAAAGCCAGGGUAGCGAACGGGAUCAGAUACCCCGGUAGUCCUGGCCGUAAACGAUGGGUACUAGGUGUGGGAGGUAUCGACCCCUUCCGUGCCGGAGUUAACGCAAUAAGUACCCCGCCUGGGGAGUACGGCCGCAAGGCUUAAACUCAAAGGAAUUGACGGGG
rnacentral:rRNA from 1 species